UCCUUCUCACAAGAGACUUCCAAAAUCGAGUGUACAGACUUUGAGGAACCAAUAACAGGGGUGAUCACUCUACGCUUGCACACUGCGAAAUCUAUUGCGCCAGGUUGAAUGUGUGUCAUGACCCGCCAUUCGUCGCACUCAGAACUCCCUGUUUGUUAGCAACAUAUUAUCGAUUUCGCUGAAAGCAAAGCCAACAUCCAUUAGAAUCCAAAAUGGUUUCUUUAACGAUUGCAUUGAUCUCACUCUGGAAGGAAGGGUUUAAAUAACCACCUAGCCUUGAGCGGCAACGAGGAAAGAAACCAGCCUGCUGCAGGAGGUGAGCUUGGGGCUCUAUGUGGAGGAUACAGCGGAAUGAGAAUAAGAGAUAGCGCAGAAUUUUCCAUGUUAGGACAUUGUUGAGAUUCCUGGACAGAGAUUCCGGGAUAAAAGUCCCCGUUCUGAGCUCUGCGAUUAGGGCUGGAAACUGCCGCUCAUUCAGUCCACCGCAAAUCAAACCACCAUUAAUUACGCCUCGCGGCCUCGUCCAAAGAUGUGUGAAACAAUUGACCAAGCAAUUGGCAUAUGUCCACAUUGUCAAGUUUUGGGAACGAGAAAGGCGGUGGGCCAGGGAGCUCAGUGGCACGCGGCUGAGGAAAUUAUGCAGCUCGAUAUGAUACCGGAAAAUCCUGCCAAGGGCGAAAAUCGCAUGGUUUGUCUUUGAAUUUGAGAAUUUCUUUUGCGAUGUCAUAAUUCUCCACCACCGCCAUGAGAUCUUCCAGCUUCCAGUCUGUCUCUAACUCAUGAUAUUCCCAGACACACACCCCCCAGCGCAACUGGGACGCCAUUUUUUUUUAGGUUAGAGAUGCUCGAGCACUCCGUUUCCGUCAAUGUUCAGAUAAAUAGUAAAAGCGCUGUCGCCAGUAUUGGUUUCAGAGGUCUUUCUAUUAGUUCCGGGGCGUCUAAUUUUGGAGUAAUCAGAGCUCAACAGAAAACAUCGCGUGUGUGGCACUCUGGUGCAGAACCAACAGCCUGCUUGAUGUGAAAUAGUUAUGGAAGGUAAGCAGUGGCUGUUAAUCAUCGAGUGUCUCCGGGAUCGCCUGUGAGGAAUGCUAGAAUCUCGCGGCUUGCACCCAAGGCAAAAAUAAAUCAGUGGCAGUUUCUGGUGUGAUAGGAGUCUUUUAUGUUAAGGAAUAGCCACCUGUGGCCUUCUUGA
rnacentral:sRNA from 1 species